rnacentral:tRNA from 1 species
GGGGCGUAGUGUAGCGGUUAACAUGCCUGCCUGUCACGCAGGAGAUCGCGGGUUCGACUCCCGUCAGCUCCGCCA